rnacentral:rRNA from 1 species
CAGCCGCCGCGGGAAUACGGAGGGUGCAAGCGUUAAUCGGAAUUACUGGGCGUAAAGCGCACGCAGGCGGUCUGUUAAAUCAGAUGUGAAAUCCCCGGGCUUAACCUGGGAACUGCAUUUGAAACUGGCAGGCUUGAGUCUUGUAGAGGGGGGUAGAAUUCCAGGUGUAGCGGUGAAAUGCGUAGAGAUCUGGAGGAAUACCGGUGGCGAAGGCGGCCCCCUGGACAAAGACUGACGCUCAGGUGCGAAAGCGUGGGGAGCAAACAGGAUUAGAUACCCGUGUAGUCCCUGUCUCUUAUAC